UACGUAGGAGACGAGCGUUGUCCGGAGUUACUGGGCGUAAAGGGUGCGCAGGCGGCCCUGCGCGUCGCGAGUGAAAAUCUCCCGGCUCAACUGGGAGGGUGGUCGCGAGACGGCAGGGCUUGAGGCUCGGUGAGGGCGUGGAAUCCGGGUGGAGCGGUGAAAUGCGUAGAGAUCCGGAGGAACACCAACGGCGUAGGCAGCGCCCUAGACGAGACCUGACGCUCAGGCACGAAAGCGCGGGGAGCGAACAGG
rnacentral:rRNA from 1 species